UGCCUUCCCAGUGGGUAUACGAGCCUAAACGGACGCGGUAAAUCGUGCUAAGGUAGCUAAAUUAUGGCCUAUUAAUUGUAGGUCCUGUGAAUGGUUUGACGAGUCUUCAUCUGUCUCAAAGUUAUUUUGGUGAACUUAAAUUAAAUGUGCAAAUGCAUUUAUGAGAAAGAAAGACGAGAAGACCCCGUGAAGUUAGAAAUUUUUACUAUAAUGUAAAGUCUCGGUGGCUUGUAGUCAAUGUUGUGUUUAAUAAGUUGUUUAGUGCCUUUAAAUGAAGGUGAUAAAAAUUUAGUAAAAAGAGUUGAGAAGUAUAGUCAAUAGGUUUUGGCUGGGGCAGCAAAGAGGCAAAGCUAGACCUCUUUAGUCUAGUGACGGGUGCGUUAUGAUCCACAUGAUUGGUUAGAUGUGCUUAGCAGAAGAAGUUACUCCGGGGAUAACAGCGUUAUCCACCCUGACAGCUCUUAUAGAUGGGUGGGUUUGCGACCUCGAUGUUGGCUCUGGGUAUCCUGAGGCUGUAGGUGGUCUCAAAGGUUGGUUUGUUCGCCC
rnacentral:rRNA from 1 species